rnacentral:rRNA from 1 species
AGAGGUUGAUCAUGGCUCAGAUUGAACGCUGGCGGCAGGCCUAACACAUGCAAGUCGAACGGUAACAGGAAGAAGCUUGCUUCUUUGCUGACGAGUGGCGGACGGGUGAGUAAUGUCUGGGAAACUGCCUGAUGGAGGGGGAUAACUACUGGAAACGGUAGCUAAUACCGCAUAACGUCGCAAGACCAAAGAGGGGGACCUUCGGGCCUCUUGCCAUCGGAUGUGCCCAGAUGGGAUUAGCUAGUAGGUGGGGUAACGGCUCACCUAGGCGACGAUCCCUAGCUGGUCUGAGAGGAUGACCAGCCACACUGGAACUGAGACACGGUCCAGACUCCUACGGGAGGCAGCAGUGGGGAAUAUUGCGCAAUGGGCGCAAGCCUGAUGCGGCCAUGCCGCGUGUAUGAAGAAGGCCUUCGGGUUGUAAAGUACUUUCAGCGGGGAGGAAGGGAGUAAAGUUAAUACCUUUGCUCAUUGACGUUACCCGCAGAAGAAGCACCGGCUAACUCCGUGCCAGCAGCCGCGGUAAUACGGAGGGUGCAAGCGUUAAUCGGAAUUACUGGGCGUAAAGCGCACGCAGGCGGUUUGUUAAGUCAGAUGUGAAAUCCCCGGGCUCAACCUGGGAACUGCAUCUGAUACUGGCAAGCUUGAGUCUCGUAGAGGGGGGUAGAAUUCCAGGUGUAGCGGUGAAAUGCGUAGAGAUCUGGAGGAAUACCGGUGGCGAAGGCGGCCCCCUGGACGAAGACUGACGCUCAGGUGCGAAAGCGUGGGGAGCAAACAGGAUUAGAUACCCUGGUAGUCCACGCCGUAAACGAUGUCGACUUGGAGGUUGUGCCCUUGAGGCGUGGCUUCCGGAGCUAACGCGUUAAGUCGACCGCCUGGGGAGUACGGCCGCAAGGUUAAAACUCAAAUGAAUUGACGGGGGCCCGCACAAGCGGUGGAGCAUGUGGUUUAAUUCGAUGCAACGCGAAGAACCUUACCUGGCCUUGACAUCCACAGAACUUUCCAGAGAUGGAUUGGUGCCUUCGGGAACUGUGAGACAGGUGCUGCAUGGCUGUCGUCAGCUCGUGUUGUGAAAUGUUGGGUUAAGUCCCGCAACGAGCGCAACCCUUAUCUUUUGUUGCCAGCGGUCCGGCCGGGAACUCAAAGGAGACUGCCAGUGAUAAACUGGAGGAAGGUGGGGGUGACGUCAAGUCAUCAUGGCCCUUACGACCAGGGCUACACACGUGCUACAAUGGCGCAUACAAAGAGAAGCGACCUCGCGAGAGCAAGCGGACCUCAUAAAGUGCGUCGUAGUCCGGAUUGGAGUCUGCAACUCGACUCCAUGAAGUCGGAAUCGCUAGUAAUCGUGGAUCAGAAUGCCACGGUGAAUACGUUCCCGGGCCUUGUACACACCGCCCGUCACACCAUGGGAGUGGGUUGCAAAAGAAGUAGGUAGCUUAACCUUCGGGAGGGCGCUUACCACUUUGUGAUUCAUGACUGGGGUGAAGUCGUAACAAGGUAACCGUAGGGGAACCUGCGGUUG